rnacentral:lncRNA from 1 species
GAGAGAAGGUAUAUUUUAUGGUUGUACUUCAUUAAUAGAUAUUUUUGAUUGAGGAUCAUCUUAUGCUUGCAUUUGUAGGUCUUGAACUUCUUCAAGUUCAAUUUUCUUUCCACUGCCUCUUUCUAGGAUAAACUCUUUUUCUAUAAAAGUGGCAUAUUUACUGACAAACACCUUAUGUUCAGUAAGAUGGUAAAAGAGGUAUUCUAUACUCUUUUUGGGAUAGACUACAAACAAGCAUUUAUCUACCCUAGCACUAAGCUUAUGUCCAAAAUUUCUUUUAACAUAAGCUGAACAGCCCCA